CCUAAACCCACCCCUGUUCGACUCGCGGUAAUGAGGUCACCUGUCGCGGGCGGCUCGCGGUCUGUUUGCAGUGAUCAAUCUAUCCAUUGCUGCGUCUCGUUAAACUUAAACGGUUGGUCUCCCAAACCGUUUAUCAGUCUAAUGUUUUAACAUACGGUGAACCGCGAGGUCACGAACACUUUUCGAAGUAAAACGGACCACAAGAUCUGGAGCAGCUGUGGUGCUGGCUUGGAGUGAGGCCGGUACGAGAAACGUAUGUUAUGGUGAACCGCAAGGUCACGAACACUUUUCGAAGUAAAACGGACCGCAAGAUCUGGAGCAGCUGUCAAGAAGAAUAAACAGAUUCUGUGUCUGCCUCCACACCUCCCUGCUGUCACCACUGGUCUAAGAAGUCCAUAACGGUUAGUGUGGGAGGCGCAGCUCCAGUACUUGCUUUCUUGAACCUGUGUGAUGCACAAGAUGUUGAUCCAACCGCACAGUGAGCUCUGCAGGGUGGUCAGGACGGCUGUAGACGUGGAGGACGGGGCGGGGAGCCAGGCUCACCAGUGACCCGUGGUGCAGGGCAGCUAGUGGGGAGCAGUGCUGGAGGACCUGCUGGGAAGGACAUCCCUCGUUGGGGUAAAGACACCCGUCUCUGAGAUGUGAAGGCUGCAGAGGACCCACCAGGAUCCCCUUGGAGGACAACAAUUGGACUACGUGAGGUCUUUGGAAGCACUACAGUUCUGAAUGCCUUCCAAAGAAUGAAGCCCACCCCCCAUGGCUCAGCUAGUGGUGUUCAGCGGACCAGGAACCCCGAGACCUGAAGGAGGAGCCGUGCAUCUGGAGGAACACCAUGAGGCUACCCGCCAAGUAUUACUCGUAAGUUGGCAUAAACUGUGUAGUUUACUCCCAGACAUUCCAGCAAACUACCACUGAUACCAGACUGCCCAUACCAGUGCUCUGUUACCAGACCAUCAAACUACCACUGAUACAGACCCCACAAACCAGUGCUCUGUUACCAGACAUCAAACUACCACUGAUACAGACCCCACAAACCAGUGCUCUGUUACCAGACCAUCAAACUACCACUGAUACCAGACCCCACAAACCAGUGCUCUGUUACCAGACCAUCAAACUACCACUGAUACAGACCCCACAAACCAGUUCUCUGUUACCAGACCAUCAAACUUUUGGUAUGGAGGGUUUCACAUUGAUGCCACCGUAUUAACCCAUCUAUAACAUUAUGACCUUCCCAAAGUGAGCUCUGCAGGGUGGGCAGGACGGCUGUAGACGUGGAGGACGGGCGGGG
ensembl:lncRNA